CUACUCUCAGUUCGGAUUGUAGGCUGAAACUCGCCUACAUGAAGCUGGAGUUACUAGUAAUCGCAGAUCAGAAUGCUGCGGUGAAUGCGUUCCCGGGUCUUGUACACACCGCCCGUCACACCACGGGAGUUGGAGACGCCCGAAGCCGAUUAUCUAACCUUUUGGAAGAAGUCGUCGAAGGUGGAAUCAAUAACUGGGGUGAAGUCGUAACAAGGUAGCCGUAUCGGAAGGUGCGGCUGGAUCACCUCCUUUCUAAGGAGA
rnacentral:rRNA from 1 species